CACGUAGUUAGCCGGCGCUUCUUCUGCAGGUACCGUCACUUACGCUUCUUCCCUACUGAAAGAGGUUUACAACCCGAAGGCCGUCAUCCCUCACGCGGCGUCGCUGCAUCAGGCUUCCGCCCAUUGUGCAAUAUUCCCCA
rnacentral:rRNA from 1 species